rnacentral:sRNA from 1 species
UUCUGCGUAGUGAGGAGAGCUUUGCCUC